rnacentral:misc_RNA from 1 species
UGGUUCUGGCAUCGAUGAAGAACGCAGCGAAAUGCGAUAAGUAAUGUGAAUUGCAGAAUUUUGUGAAUCAUCGAAUCUUUGAACGCACAUUGCGCCUUUUGGUAUUCCGAGAGGCAUGCUUGUUCGAGCGUCGUUUAUAUAUCUAUUGAUUGAUUUUUUUAAUUAAAAAUUAAAUCAAUGAGUUGGAGUUUAUUUCUAACAAAAUAUCUCCAAAAAAGAUUGAUAGCGAUCUGAAGGAUUUAUAUUGCAACGCAUUAAAGUUUUACUACUACGUUGACGAGAAAAUCCUUGGAUUUGCCAAAUUUUUAAAAAUAUAAAUUUUUAAUUCUUAAAAAUUUCUCCAAAUAUCGACCUCGGAUCAAGCAAGAUUACCCGCUGA